rnacentral:lncRNA from 1 species
CCGGACAGGGGUCAGGCUGACCGUUUCUUUGUAGGACUAUGUUAUAGCAAUGUCUUGCCAGGACUUGAUCUCCUCUGACUUCUCCGACCCCCUGGCUAGUAGGAAAUUUCAAUUUCAAAUGGUAGAUCGAUACUACAGCUCGGAGGGCGUUGAGGUCAGAUCGGCCGAGUAUUGCGUUGUAGGCAGACAACGCCCUCACUAUCAGAAA